rnacentral:rRNA from 1 species
AUGUUGCAUCAAGAAAAUAGUGAGGUUUAUGUGAGGCACCACUCUGAGCAGCUUGCAUGUGGCAAUCUGAGGGGAACCGAUGAUGGGCGCUCAAACUUCCUUCCUGGGAAAUACCAUAUUGCAACAGUUGGGCCUAAUUUUGGAAUUUCAGAAUGGAAUACCACAGCUUGUCUAGUUAAUACUACCAGUGCUGUUAAAGAAGUGACAGUCGAUCAUUAUAAGAGACCUGCCUCUAGUGGUUUCCCAGACAUGUUGGACUGCAAACGGAUGAAGCAGGAAGAGCAAACUGUAUCUGAGAAAGAUAAUGCAGCAGAUGCUGACAUAAAUGUUCCAGAGUAUGGAUCAUACAAGACAUGGGAGAGAAUCUCCGAUCCACCAGCGUACGGUAGUGAGGAAAGUGAGGAUGAAGGUGUAGAUCCACCCGUUAAUUUUUCACUAGCCCAAACUUAUGUUGAAGAUUACCUGCGAUCUGCAAGUUAUUAUCAAAGGGAAGACAUUUACUCGUCUGUUAGCCUUUGCCCUACAAGGAAAACUGUUCCAAUUGGGCCAAAUUAUCAGGCUGAGUUGCCAGAGUGUGCAUCUGGUAAUUGUAGGAGCUCAGUUGAUGGUAAUGCUGAUGUGUCAUCAUCUUCUCACAUAUGUGAUAUAAAGGAAGCCGGGAGUGACAAGUGGAUUAGGAACUCUGUUAUUCCAAUGCCUGGUUCUGUUGAGUUAUCUUCAGUGCUGAAACCUGUUUGCUGUAAGACAGAUUGCAGUUGUGUUGAUGAAGGUUCGAUUGCGUGCGUGAGGAAGCAUGUGAAGGAAGCAAGAGAAAGACUAAUGAGUGCCCUUGAUCUGAACACCUUCAAAGAGUUAGGAUUCUUUGACAUGGGAGAGGAGGUGGCCUUGAAAUGGACUGAAGAUGAAGAGCAUUUGUUCCAGGAUGUGGUAUCAUUAAACCCUGCCUCUCUUGGAAGGAACUUCUGGGAUGAACUUCUGCUUGCCUUCCCAUUGAAGACUAACAAAGAGUUAGUGAGCUACUAUUUCAAUGUCUACAUGUUGAGGAAGAGGGCUGAGCAGAAUAGGUUUGAUCCAAUGAAUGUUGACAGUGAUAAUGAUGAAUGGGAGGGAAGAGAUGAUGAUGAAUUUGCUGUGACAGAAAGGGCUGGUGAGGAUUUGCUGCUCGAGUCUCUUACUGAUCAAGAUGAUGGUGCAUGCAAUCAAGUUCCCCUCCAAGGAAAUAUACAUGAAGAGUCUGGUGAGGAGGAUGAGUUUGACUGUUCUAGUGGUGACAGGCAAGAAAAUUGCUGCAUGGAGGGGAAUGUCAUGGUGUCCCUUGUGGACGUUAACCAGGGGGCAACCAUUUUUGACGCAGAUGCUCAAGACGACUCGUGCACAUCAUUUGAGGCUCCGCAUGUUUGUACCACGGAUGGCACACCCACUGAUAUUGCUGGAGACCACUACCGGGAUGUUGGCUUUGGUAGCGUUGCAGAUCAUGGAUACUUUGGUGGCCAUUGCGACCCGAAAACAUGGGAUAUUGGUUUCAGUAGCGUUUGGGAGAAAGACGAAUUUCUUUCGACAAACAAUGUGAUAGAAGAGGUGUUUGGAAAGGAUUCUUGUGAAAAUGGAAAUGACUCUUCUACUGCCCAGGGCAUCAUGUAA